UACGGGGGGGGCAAGCGUUGUUCGGAAUUACUGGGCGUAAAGGGCUCGUAGGCGGCCAACUAAGUCAGACGUGAAAUCCCUCGGCUUAACCGGGGAACUGCGUCUGAUACUGGAUGGCUUGAGUUUGGGAGAGGGAUGCGGAAUUCCAGGUGUAGCGGUGAAAUGCGUAGAUAUCUGGAGGAACACCGGUGGCGAAGGCGGCAUCCUGGACCAACACUGGACGCUGA
rnacentral:rRNA from 1 species